rnacentral:rRNA from 2 species
UACGGAGGGUGCAAGCGUUAUCCGGAUUCACUGGGUUUAAAGGGUGCGUAGGCGGGUAUUUAAGUCAGUGGUGAAAUCCUAGAGCUUAACUCUAGAACUGCCAUUGAUACUAUUUAUCUUGAAUAUUGUGGAGGUAAGCGGAAUAUGUCAUGUAGCGGUGAAAUGCUUAGAUAUGACAUAGAACACCUAUUGCGAAGGCAGCUUACUACGCAUAUAUUGACGCUGAGGCACGAAAGCGUGGGGAUCAAAC